rnacentral:rRNA from 1 species
GUACCCGGGGACCGAUUCCUACGGGAGGCAGCAAGAAGUCGGCAAUGGGGGAAACCCUGACCGAGCGCCGCCGCGUGAAGGAUGAAGGCCCUUGGGUUGUAAACUUCUUUUGUUCGGGAAGUAAUGCGAUCAGGUGAAUAAUCUGGUCGUUUGACGGUACCGGACGAAUAAGCACCGGCUAACUCCGUGCCAGCAGCCGCGGUAAUACGGAGGGUGCAAGCGUUGUCCGGAUUUAUUGGGUUUAAAGGGUGCGUAGGCGGCUGUUUAAGUCAGCGGUGAAAGACUCCGGCUCAACCGGGGCAGUGCCGUUGAUACUGGACAGCUUGAGUGCUGCAGGGGUACAUGGAAUUGAUGGUGUAGCGGUGAAAUGCAUAGAUACCAUCAGGAACACCGAUAGCGAAGGCAUUGUACUAUCCAUAUGACUAGUACA